UAAUACGAAGGUGGCAAGCGUUGUUCGGAUUCACUGGGCGUACAGGGUGUGUAGGCGGUUUGGUAAGCCUUCUGUUAAAGCUUCGGGCCCAACCCGGAAAGCGCAGAGGGUACUGCCAGGCUAGAGGGUGGGAGAGGAGCGCGGAAUUCCCGGUGUAGCGGUGAAAUGCGUAGAGAUCGGGAGGAAGGCCGGUGGCGAAGGCGGCGCUCUGGAACAUACCUGACGCUGAGACACGAAAGCGUGGGGAGCAAACAGGAUUAGAUACCCUGGUAGUCCACGCCCUAAACUAUGGAUACUAAGUGUCGGCGGGUUACCGCCGGUGCCGCAGCUAACGCAUUAAGUAUCCCGCCUGGGAAGUACGGCCGCAAGGUUGAAACUCAAAUGAAUUGACGG
rnacentral:rRNA from 1 species